AAGGAAUAAUACGGAACCGCACACGAGUCAAAGUUUUGUUUAGUUUUGAGAGGUCUACUCUCACUUUUGUUCUUUGAAAACUGAAUAAUAUCUAUAAUUUUCUAAUUUUAAUUAAUCAUAAUUAAACCGAGAGAAAACCGCGUAAUUUUAAAGAGUUAAACAAGAUUAGUUCAAAAUAAUCGCAAUACUCAAUUAAUCGCUU
rnacentral:misc_RNA from 1 species